GUGCACGCUGGCGGUAGGCCUAACACCUGCAAGUCGCACGGCAGCACAGUAAGAGCUUGCUCUUACGGGUGGCGAGUGGCGGACGGGUGAGGAAUACAUCGGAAUCUACUUUUUCGUGGGGGAUAACGUAGGGAAACUUACGCUAAUACCGCAUACGACCUACGGGUGAAAGCAGGGGAUCUUCGGACCUUGCGCGAUUGAAUGAGCCGAUGUCGGAUUAGCUAGUUGGCGGGGUAAAGGCCCACCAAGGCGACGAUCCGUAGCUGGCCUGAGAGGAUGAUCCGCCACACUGGAACUGAGACACGGUCCAGACUCCUACGGGAGGCAGCAGUGGGGAAUAUUGGACAAUGGGCGCAAGCCUGAUCCAGCCAUACCGCGUGGGUGAAGAAGGCCUUCGGGUUGUAAAGCCCUUUUGUUGGGAAAGAAAAGCAGCAGGUUAAUACCCCGCUGUUCUGACGGUACCCAAAGAAUAAGCACCGGCUAACUUCGUG
rnacentral:rRNA from 1 species